rnacentral:rRNA from 1 species
GUGUCAGCAGCCGCGGUAAUACGUAGGGGGCAAGCGUUGUCCGGAUUUACUGGGUGUAAAGGGUGCUCAGGUGGUUGUGUAAGUCAGGGGUGAAAUCCUGGAGCUUAACUCCGGAACUGCCCUUGAUACUACAUAGCUUGUGUACGGAAGAGGCUGAUGGAAUUCCUGGUGUAGCAGUGAAAUGCGUAGAUAUCAGGAAGAACACCAGUGGCGAAGGCGGUCAGCUGGUCCGUUACAGACACUAAAGCACGAAAGCGUGGGGAGCAAACAGGAUUAGAUACCCCCGUAGUCC